CCUGAUGGCUAAGAUGGUAAAGAAUCUGCCUGCAAUGCCGGAGACCCAGGGUUCAAUCCCUGGGUCAGGA
rnacentral:tRNA from 1 species